UGAACCAGCCAAGUAGCGUGCAGGAUGACGGCCCUAUGGGUUGUAAACUGCUUUUAUGCGGGGAUAAAGUGAGGGACGUGUCCCUUUUUGCAGGUACCGCAUGAAUAAGGACCGGCUAAUUCCGUGCCAGCAGCCGCGGUAAUACGGAAGGUCCGGGCGUUAUCCGGAUUUAUUGGGUUUAAAGGGAGCGUAGGCCGGGGAUUAAGUGUGUUGUGAAAUGUAGACGCUCAACGUCUGACUUGCAGCGCAUACUGGUUUCCUUGAGUACGCACAACGUUGGCGGAAUUCGUCGUGUAGCGGUGAAAUGCUUAGAUAUGACGAAGAACUCCGAUUGCGAAGGCAGCUGACGGGAGCGCAACUGACGCUUAAGCUCGAAGGUGCGGGUAUCAAACAGGAUUAGAUACCCUGGUAGUCCGCACAGUAAACGAUGGAUGCCCGCUGUUGGUACCUGGUAUCAGCGGCUAAGCGAAAGCAUUAAGCAUCCCACCUGGGGAGUACGCCGGCAACGGUGAAACUCAAAGGAAUUGACGGGGGCCCGCACAAGCGGAGGAACAUGUGGUUUAAUUCGAUGAUACGCGAGGAACCUUACCCGGGCUUGAAUUGCAGAGGAAGGAUUUAGAGAUAAUGACGCCCUUCGGGGCCUCUGUGAAGGUGCUGCAUGGUUGUCGUCAGCUCGUGCCGUGAGGUGUCGGCUUAAGUGCCAUAACGAGCGCAACCCCUCUCUUCAGUUGCCAUCAGGUUAUGCUGGGCACUCUGGAGACACUGCCACCGUAAGGUGUGAGGAAGGUGGGGAUGACGUCAAAUCAGCACGGCCCUUACGUCCGGGGCUACACACGUGUUACAAUGGCCGGUACAGAGGGAUGGUGUAAUGCAAAUUGCAUCAAAUCUUGAAAGCCGGUCCCAGUUCGGACUGGGGUCUGCAACCCGACCCCACGAAGCUGGAUUCGCUAGUAAUCGCGCAUCAGCCAUGGCGCGGUGAAUACGUUCCCGGGCCUUGUACACACCGCCCGUCAAGCCAUG
rnacentral:rRNA from 1 species